CUUUCAGACAAUGAGAGAGACCAGCAGGCUUGAAAGUUGCUUCUUGGCAGACCGUGUCCCUAAGGUCCUCUGAGAAGGAAGUCCUACUUGCCAGACUCUUCAGAUUUCAAGAUGAGACACGUGCUAUAAAAGGACCCCAAGGAAGAAAAUGACUUCAGAUAUUGUUGCUGAGCGCGUGGGUUGCUGCUUCCGGGAGAGCAGGUUUGAUCCAAUCCUUGAGAUUUCCUGACUUUAGGGUGCAUUGUCCGUGCCUUGUUCAGCAGGUGGAGCUCUAUAACUACGCAGGAAAUGAUGUGUCUAGGCCUGGAGAUUUUUCUUUUUUGAUUGGAAAGAGGUCAGACUUUUUGGAGGGUGCUGAACACCGUGGACUAUGGUGAUAGAAUUAUUCUUGUGGCAUUUUUUUUAGAAGAGAGUAUUCCUUGGUGUGUUGCUUCUGAUAGUGUUCAACCAUAGAAAGAGUCCACGAUGCCAGCUUCCAUUGAUUUGGGGAGCUGCACAUUUGGAAAUAACUGCUGAUCUUGAUAGUGAAUACUAACUAUAUCUCUGAAGGAAGUGAGCUUUGUAAGAUAUCAUUUUUGACUCAGGAGAAUUGCAAUUAGAAUGUUAAAAUAAAUGCAUAACAUGCAAGCUCUCUGGGAAGCCAGAUCAUUAUACGGAGAUUGGCGAGCAUGGCAUCAGAAUUGGAUUGGAAUGCUUAAUGGCACAGAGUCUGAUCAUUGGGCACAUCCCUCACUAAGAUGGGGAUAUAGCUCCCAUCAGCCUGAGGAGAUCUUCUCCCCUAAGAGAUAUUUGCCCACACGGAUGAAGACCUGCUGCUCAGGAUUUGCUAUUUCUUUAUAUUAAGAGCUUCCUGGGCUGGCCCCGUGGCUUGGCAGUUAAGUGCUCGCGCUCCGCUGCUGGCGGCCCGGGUUCAGAUCCCGGGCGCGCACCA